rnacentral:rRNA from 1 species
UACGUAGGUGGCGAGCGUUGUCCGGAUUUACUGGGUGUAAAGGGCGUGUAGGCGGGUUUUUAAGUCAGAUGUGAAAUACCGGGGCUCAACUCCGGGGCUGCAUCUGAAACUGGAAAUCUUGAGUGCUGGAGGGGAAAGUGGAAUUCCUAGUGUAGCGGUGAAAUGCGUAGAGAUUAGGAGGAACACCAGUGGCGAAGGCGGCUUUCUGGACAGCAACUGACGCUGAGGCGCGAAAGCGUGGGGAGCAAACAGG